ACGAUGUCUCAUUGACUGUGUGUACAAAGACCAGGACCCCAGAGCAAGAAGACCCCAAAACAGAAAGGCACAGCCAAGGGCACCCUCUUAUACCUCUCAGAGGCCCAUGAACUCCCAGUUGUAGCAGGGGAUGGGCCCAAGACCCUGCAAGGGGCUGGCUGGGGGCUGCUGGUAGUCUGUGCUGGAAAACCCUUGCCCCCUCUUAACCCUGGCGCUGCAGCGUGCACUGCAAGUGGCAGGCACUCGGUAAUUGGAUGCUUUGGAAGCAGAGUUUCAAUUAUCCUGAGGCUCGGGGUCCCUCGCAGGUCACUGGAGCAGAUGGUGCCAGAGUCUGGAGUCAUUAGAGUGAACCUCAUAGAUAGCCUUAUCUUUUCCAAUGUGGAUACUUUUAGUCAGAAGAAAAAAAAAA
rnacentral:lncRNA from 1 species